GUACAGGUGCUGCAUGGCUGUCGUCAGCUCGCGUUGUGAAAUGUUGGGUUAAGUCCCGCAACGAGCGCAACCCUUAUCCUUUGUUGCCAGCGGUCCGGCCGGGAACUCAAAGGAGACUGCCAGUGAUAGACUGGAGGAAGGUGGGAUGACGUCAAGUCAUCAUGGCCCUUACGACCAGGGCUACACACGUGCUACAAUGGCGCAUACAAAGAGAAGCGACCUCGCGAGAGCAAGCGGACCUCAUAAAGUGCGUCGUAGUCCGGAUUGGAGUCUGCAACUCGACUCCAUGAAGUCGGAAUCGCUAGUAAUCGUGGAUCAGAAUGCCACGGUGAAUACGUUCCCGGGCCUU
rnacentral:rRNA from 1 species